AUGUCUCGCUAACUGCGUCCCCCAAACACGUCUCUGUUCGUCAGGAACGUGGCCGACGACACCAGGUCUGAAGAUUUACGGCGUGAAUUUGGUCGUUAUGGUCCUAUAGUUGAUGUGUAUGUUCCACUUGAUUUCUACACUCGCCGUCCAAGAAGAUUUGCUUACGUUCAAUUUUGAGGAUGUUUGUGAUGCUGAAGAUGCUUUACAUAAUUUGGACAGAAAGUGGAUUUGUGGACGGCAGAUUGAAAUACAGUUUGCCCAGGGGGAUCGGAAGACACCAAAUCAGAUGAAAGCCAAGGAAGGGAGGAAUGUGUACAGUUCUUCACGCUAUGAUGAUUAUGACAGAUACAGACGUUCAAGAAGCUGAAGUUACGAAAGAAGGAGAUCAAGAAGUCGGUCUUUUGAUUACAACUAUAGAAGAUCGUAUAGUCCUAGAAGUAGACCGACUGGAAGACCAAGGCGGAGCAGAAGCCAUUCCGACAAUGAUAGAUUCAAACACCGAAAUCGAUCUUUUUCAAGAUCUAAAUCCAAUUCAAGAUCACGGUCCAAGUCCCAGCCCAAGAAAGAAAUGAAGGCUAAAUCACGUUCUAGACCAAACUGCAGCUGGAAUACCCAGUACAGUUCUGCUUACUACACUUCAAGAAAGAUCUGAAAGCGGAAAAAGAACCAAAGAAGGGCAGUUCAAGCGACCAAAGGGUGGGUGGAAGGUGCUGCAGUAUGAAUACUGUACGAAUAUUUUGACUCUGGUCUGAAAAGAUAAAAGAAUGUUAUCGAAAACCACAUGGAAUAAUUGAAGUCCCUUCAAGUUUGAAAGUAAGCAUUUUAGGACAAAUAAAAGGAAAUUCAACUUUGUACUUGUGGAAACUAAUCCCUAAAUAUGAAUAGGUUUAUAUUGAUUCAUGGGUACCAGAUCCAUAACAAAUUAUUGGAAAAUAGGAUGUCUGAAUAUCAAGGAAGACAGCCAUAGUCUCUUACGGUGCCUCUGUUGGUCUGUCUCAAACUGAAUUGGGUGGGGAAAUGUAUGGUCCAAUAUAAAAGUUCCAUUUUCGCCAUUAUUGGCAAAUCUUGCCUUUGUUUAUUUUGGUGCCAGUGUUUUCUGCUUAAACAUUUGCUUUGUUGGCAUCUGCAUUUAUUUACUUGUACACCACAUGCAGUUUACAUCUUCCUUAACUACUCUCCUUCCCAGGUAAAUUCGAAUUACAUUUGACAUCCAGCUAAGAGGGCCCAUCUCUUCUCACCUCUUUCCUAGUCAAUAUGUUCAGCAAAUAUUUAUUGAGCCCUUACUAUGGGCAAAUCAUUGUACUGGAUAAUUGAGGAGAAAAAUAGUUGAUUCCCUUAUUCGGUAAAUGUCUACUGAGCACAAUCUAGUGAAUCAUUACAUAUCACCUUGUCGUUUUGUUUGAGGUAUAUUAUUCGUAACAAUAUUUUACACCAUUCAUAUCUUAAUGUAAUUAUAGAACCCAAUAUACUAUCAAGAAUAAGUAAUUAUGUGGUUAUUCUGCCAUUUAAAAGUAUCCAGUAUUUGUUUAAUCCCAAUAUUACAAAUAAUGAAAAAAUGAUUUGUUUUAAUCUGUAAUAAACUGGUUUAUUGUGCAGUGACUGUAAUAUACUAGAGUUAUAUUAAAGUGUUCACUCUGCCUCACCAAACACAUACUAGGAAAUAACCCCCAAAAUAAGUAUUUAACUUUGCAUUAGAUAUAAAGGAUACUGGGUGCUAUAAUUAGAUUAUUUUGAGGCAGACAGCUGUUAUCCCAACUGAUUUAGUAUGUUCUGUAAUUGAGAAAAUGUUCACCAAAUUAUACUUUUUAGUGAUUUAUAUGUACAUUUUAUAGGGGACGUGUUCUGUGUAUAGUGAAUAAAUAACUUUUAUAGUAUCAUGAAA